UAUCCCUUUCUUCUCCAACAUAAUGGAAACUUUUAUGAUGUCAACAUUUUAUAUUAUUUGCUAUUAUCUCUAAUCUGUAAGAAAGAACAUGGUAGCAAGAAAUUUUCAGUAACUGUACAUUAAAAGAAGGAACCAGGUCGGUAAGAGAGGUCAGUAAGAGAUGACAGCGGUGGGAGAGGAGGUAAAAUUCACACAAUAUUUUUAUGCUGUCCUGGAAAUAAUAAGGAAGGUUACCUCAAAAAUUCUAGGAAAAUAUGAAACACCAAUGAAAUAGGAAGCUUUCUUUCUGUUUCUGAGCUGACUGCUUGAUAAAUUCCUUCCAUGCCAAAUAUCCCUGUAGCCCUGUAGCAUUUUGACAUUUAAUUUCUGCUACUAUAGUAGUCCAGAAGAAAUGAUACUAUUUCUUGACUAAUUUUCUCUAAGUGCCAUGUAUUGUGAUUAGCAUUUUCUAUGCAUUAUACUAUUCAAAAAGCUAAUAGGUAUUUAUUCAUUAUGCAUGUGUUCAGUGCGGGUAUGUGGCUCUGUCACAUCACAGGUUGGAGGUCAGAGGACAACAUCCAGGCGUUGUGAAUUCCAUCCUGUGCAUUUCCCCCUCCAGCAUGGGGAUUCUGAGAAUCUGACUGAGAUCUUCAAACUUGAGGCGAGUGCCUUUACUUGUUAAAGAGCCUUUAAUUAAAAAAAAAGACUUAAUAAUUUUGUGUGUGCAUUGACAACUGUGUGGCGUUCAAAGGAAGCCUUGCUGGAGUGGUUUUCACCCUCCACAAUGUAGGUUCUGGAGCUGGAACUCCAGCUGUCAGGCUUGGUGGCAAGAGCCACUGUUUGCUGAGCCUCUUCACUAUCUCCCAUGUUCAUUUCUUAAGACCAUGCCCACGGUAACUGGUAUUCAUCAUCCAAUUUAACCUAGAUGUACAGUGAGAAAACAGAUGCCCCACAACUUUGCCAAGAUUAUUCAAAUAGAAAUGCGAGUUGCCUCAAGGAGCAUGACCCUGGUGCAUACUCUAGGUGGAGGUUAUGAUGAGUGGUACAGGACGCUGGCUCACAAGACUGCGGUGUUCCUAUUUAGAACCUGGGGAACACAGAAUUCUGGGUAACAUGGUCAGAGCUCCUUCUUAGGCAGUCUUGCCCAUCAGCUAGUGAGUCUGUUGAAGCUCCAGGACCUCUUAGAGACCGGCUUAGACACCAGAGAGCAUGAGAGAGGCAUGGAAGCUGUAAUUCAUUCUCCCUCUCUCCCCCUCUCCCCCAACUCUGGAAGGAUGGAAGGAUGGAAGGAUUCAUAAAAUAAAUAGCUGGUUAAUGGUGGUAGGAAUGUGUUUAGGAGGUCACUGCUACUGCCUCCAGUCGCAGUGUUAGGAGACAGAAUCCUACUGAAGACAACGAAAGGCUCUGCAGAGAUUUCUUAACACCUCCUGAGUGGUAUCAGGAAGUGUCUCCAGUUAGCCGGACCAGCCCUGGACUUCACAGAUUUGCCCUCAUCUUCCACGGGGCCACCAGGAGCAGAGUUCUACUGGACCGGGAAAGGCCUGGUGAGCAAGCGCGCAAACCUGUCCACGCCUCUGCAUGUCCUCUUCUGCUUCCUCCAGGUCUCUGCAAACUUAUUAAAUUUUGGACAGUUUGUAAACAGAUGUCAUCAUUUUGAGGGGUUGUAAAGCUCAUACGUGGCAAAUUAAUCCCCAUUUUAUGCCAGGCCCCAUUUAGUAUUUCUAAAGGGAGUGGAUAAUAAAUCCCGCCAACUCUCUCUUUAAGGGCUAUUCAGAUACUAAAUAAACCAAGAACAUUUUAAAAUGCAAUCUCACAAAAA